UAGGGAAUCUUCGGCAAUGGGGGGAACCCUGACCGAGCAACGCCGCGUGAGUGAAGAAGGUUUUCGGAUCGUAAAGCUCUGUUGUUAAGGAAGAACGAGUGUGAGAAUGGAAAGUUCAUGCUGUGACGGUACUUAACCAGAAAGGGGCGGCUAACUACGUGCCAGCAGCCGCGGUAAUACGUAGGUCCCGAGCGUUGUCCGGAUUUAUUGGGCGUAAAGCGAGCGCAGGCGGUUAGAAAAGUCUGAAGUGAAAGGCAGUGGCUCAACCAUUGUAGGCUUUGGAAACUGUUUAACUUGAGUGCAGAAGGGGAGAGUGGAAUUCCAUGUGUAGCGGUGAAAUGCGUAGAUAUAUGGAGGAACACCGGUGGAGAAAGCGGCUCUCUGGUCUGUAACUGACGCUGAGGCUCGAAAGCGUGGGGAGCGAACAGG
rnacentral:rRNA from 1 species